rnacentral:snoRNA from 1 species
AAGCAGCAUCAGUACAGCGACAGCUUCUGUAAUACAGAAUUAUUACCUCUAUGGGGCUGCCUGCUGGCGAUGUAGCGAGA